UAAUUUUCCGGCCCAUCUUUCCCACUAAACACUGUUGCUACAAAACUGGGACGUGGGCAGAAUGCAGUUGACGACCUCUCUUAUAUAAUAUAAACCCUUGCAACCAAAUAUCCACCUCCAUACAUCCUUCUGUUUGUUUGCAGUACAAUUCGCAUGUGACCUCCGUAUACAACCAACAAUUAUCGCCCAAUAUCUGAUUGAUAAUCAAGAAAUAUGGCGAUGUCGAGGGCGAGCUCUUGCUUUGCAUACCCUUAUCGUGUCUUCACCGUUGUUGCUUAUGCGGGAUUUGGUGCUCCCCCAAUUCGUCAUCCAAAGGGUCACCUCCAAAUUCUCAAUCGAAGUCGCUUAGUUACGUUACGCCCUUUGUGAGCAGCUCCAUCAUCAGAAAGGAAGUUCAAGAAGAUGAAGACCUUCAAUUAUCAAUGGCAGUUGCUCUACUCUUCUUCUCCUUCCUUCUCAGGGUUUAUCCUGCUGUAAUAUAAACGAGAUUGAUUCAUUUUGGCCUACAUUAUCGUCUUGAGUCUCUUGACUUUAAUCGUCUUUAUCACUGUCGGACUGGAUUCUGAUAACCAGUAGUCAUUGUCGAAGAACAAGGGCACCAAUUGAGGCCGACUUUGUAUCACCUCUGCCAAGAGUAUUAACGUUCACCACACAUGUCUCACCAGUUGAUGUCGGCGCCAUCUUGUGUUUGUUUGUAACUAGCAAUUGACCGCUUCUUCAAGAGCUUGCCAAGCACGGGGUAUAUUUCUUCCAUUUCUUUUUGUCACUCAUAUUUUAUUUCUUUUCUUAUGGAUAUCCAAGAAUGAACACUAUGUAGUUGUAUGAAACACAUAAUUUAUAUUUCACCAUGUCUCCUGUAGGGCUAUCAACUACUUGUAACUAACCGAGCGAAUUAUUUGUAUGUCUUCGGAAACUUUUGGAAAAAUCACAU